rnacentral:rRNA from 1 species
AAAGAAAAUAACAAUGAUUUCCCUAGUAACGGCGAGUGAAGAGGAAAGAGCUCAAAGUUGGAACCUGUUUGGCCUAGCUAAACAGGAUUGUAAACUGUAGAAGUGUUUUCCAGGCAAUCCGAGUUAAUAAGUCCUUUGGAACAGGGCAUCAUAGAGGGUGAGAAUCCCGUCUUUGAUUCGAGAUAUUUUGUCUUUUGCGAUACACUUUCAAAGAGUCAGGUUGUUUGGGAAUGCAGCCUAAAUUGGGUGGUAAAUCUCACCUAAAGCUAAAUAUUGGCGAGAAACCGAUAGCGAACAAGUACCGUGAGGGAAAGAUGAAAAGAACUUUGAAAAGAGAGUUAAACAGUAUGUGAAAUUGUUAAAAGGGAACCGUUUGGAGCCAGACUGGCUUGUCUGUAAUCAAUCUAGGUUUCGUGCCUGGAUGCACUUGCAGACUAUUUGCCUGCCAACGACAAUUUUUUUUGAGUGUAAAAACUAUUGGAAAUGUGGCCAAUAUUUAUUUAUUGGUGUUAUAGUCCUUUAGAAAAUACCUUGAAUUGGAUUGAGGAACGCAGCGAAUGCUUCUCUUUUGAGGCAAAGUCUUUUAUUGGGAUUUACGGAUCAGACUGUGGCAUUGUCACAAGACUUGAA